CCGAGUCGGGGUCCUCGUGGCCCACGCUCCAAUCCUGUGUGUAUGCUACCUUGUUGCUUUGGCGGGCCCGCGGUUCCACAACCGCCGCCGGCUUCGGCUGGUCAGCGCCCGUCAGAGGAUCUUCAAAAACCUGAUUUAUUAGUGUCGUCUGAGCAAACUUCAAUGUUA
rnacentral:misc_RNA from 1 species